rnacentral:rRNA from 1 species
GUGGGGAAUAUUGGACAAUGGGCGAAAGCCUGAUCCAGCCAUGCCGCGUGUGUGAAGAAGGUCUUCGGAUUGUAAAGCACUUUAAGUUGGGAGGAAGGGCAGUAAGUUAAUACCUUGCUGUUUUGACGUUACCGACAGAAUAAGCACCGGCUAACUUCGUGCCAGCAGCCGCGGUAAUACGAAGGGUGCAAGCGUUAAUCGGAAUUACUGGGCGUAAAGCGCGCGUAGGUGGUUUUGUAAGUUGGAGGUGAAAUCCCCGGGCUCAACCUGGGAACUGCCUCCAAAACUGCAUGACUAGAGUACGGUAGAGGGUAGUGGAAUGUCCUGUGUAGCGGUGAAAUGCGUAGAUAUAGGAAGGAACACCAGUGGCGAAGGCGACUACCUGGACUGAUACUGACACUGAGGUGCGAAAGCGUGGGGAGCAAACAGGAUUAGAUACCCCGGUAGUCC